UCACCCGCGUGUCACGGCCGUGACGUCACCGGGGUGCGUGACGUAAUCCUAGGAGCGCCCUCGCGCAGUCUUCUGGGGAGGGUUCUUUCCUUUCGUGCCCACCCUCGCGCGUGCACGUUUCCUCCGCUCUGCCGUUUCCAUGGCUCCGAUUACCUACUUCGUUCUCUUCCCUGUGCUAAACCUGUGCCGUAAUGUGGGAUUUACUAGAAGAGCAUGGGUGGUGUUCGAGAAGUUGAAAUCCUAGAGGGAGAAAGAUGGGGAAGCCCAUACUGCUUGUGUUUUUUCCAUUACAGCGAGUGUCUCUGUCGUUAAAAUAAGACUUGAAACCUCCAGGGGGAAACAUCUGAGCGAAUUUGAUAGAAAUAUAUUUAGGAACAGCUAAAUUAUCAGAAUGAUUUCUGUAUCCGUCUCAUUAAAGGAUCUGGCCUGUUAAAAUUCAUUCAGCAAAUGUAAGUGGAAAACUUGUCGUGUGCAAGGGCCUGCACAAGGCACAGCAUUCCAGUCAUCUGAAGCAUCAAAACUUAAAUGAUUUUUAUUUUCAAGAAAAUCAUCGAGAACAUUUUAAAUACUUCGUGCCUUUCGUGAAUAGAAUAUUCUAAGACAUUAUCUGUAAAAAGUAUGCAUGAAAAUAAGAGUUAAAUUCCCCUUGUGAGGCCCAAUUACAGAAUGAAAUUAAAGACACCCAAUCCGUUACUAAAAGUACAUUUAUUUUAAAGGAAAGGGAAUAUGCCCCGGGGUGGGGGUGGGGGGGGUGCGGAAUAAGGAAUGGAGAAAUAGGAGUGAGAAACACAGUGGAAGAUACUGUGGCCUACUGAUGGUGUACAGUUUUAAUCACCAAAGUAACCAAGCCAUCAAGUCAUGAGAAGCAUUGAGUGAACUACAUUUCUUUACUUCCCAUGAGGAGGAAAUUCACCAGUGACCUCCUUAUAGUAUUCACCAUGAUUAAAGAGAUGGAAAGCUGUCCUACUAACUUCUGAAGCUGAAUGUCUGCAUACCGAUAGAGUCACUAUGAGCCCAGGAACUGAUCCUUAGUCCAAAGGCCAUUCUAAAGCCCCGCAGGAUCCAGAUGGGAGAAUAUAGAGGAAGCAUAAACUUUGUAGAGUACAAAGAUCAGUAUCAGCAUGCCAUAUCUUAACUAUAUGUAAUCUCAAAGAAGGUAAGCUCGCUUAAACCCCUAUUGUUAUUUUAAUGUGUAAAAUGACGUUGGUAAUAAUGCCAACCCAACCCGCCUAACUAUAUCAUUGUGAGGAUCAAACAUAGUUUUGCCCUUAACAAAAUGUAAAGUUACCUCCUCAGUCAUAAUGCAGACAAGGCACAGCAGAGAUGGCUUGCCUCUGCCCCAUGAUAUCUGGGACCCUCAGGUGGGAAGACUCAAUACCUAGAAGUGUCUCAAUGGGUGGGGACUGGAAUAAUAUGGAGGCAUGUUUCCUCAUAUACCUGGUGAUUGAAGCUGGUACCUCAGCUGGGGGCAAUCAGCCAGAAUACCCAAACAUACUUUCCUCAUGUGGCCUGAGCUUCCUCAUAGCAUGGCUGUUUCAGGGUAGUCAGCCUUCUUACAAGGUGGCUGGGGGCUCCAAAUGCUAGGCUUCCUAUAAGCAAGGUGAAACCUGUAUUGUAUUUUAUGACCUAGCCUCCGGAGUCACCUGGUGUCACUUCUGUUGAAUUUUUAUUUUAUUUUAUUUUAUUUUAUUUUAUUUUAUUUUAUUUUAUUU